GGUCGGCGCUGGGUGUGUCACUUACUAAAGUUCCCUUUAGCGUCAUUCUGGGUCUGUGAGACAAGUGUAACUUUGAAUCAUCAGAACCACUUAUUUCUUCCUGUGUCAGUAUAGUUAAAGUAAGUUGUUCUUUGGUAAUUCCCCAUGUGUCACACUAUAGCGUUAUUCUUAAGACGGCUUCACUGGGUAUAUUAACGUGCUAUGGAUUGGGUUAAGCUUAUGAAAUCUAAGACAGUUAAGUCUGAUUUGUAAUAAUACCUUAGAAGCCCAAGUUUCAUUAGCAUUUGUAUUUUUGCUGGUACAGAAACUUUAUAUUUUAUGUGAAGUUGACUUAGAUCGUUAGAUAGAGAAAAAAUAUAAACAGUUUAGGUAAUACUGUUGCUUUAUCAUAUUGCAGUUUGACAUUGAAAAUUGUAAAGUUUCAGUCUGCACAGUCCUGCACUGUUUUUGUGAUUCUGUUUUUAUCUUGAUUUAUUCUGGUUGCUGCCUUUUAAAGUGGGGGGAUGGGGGUGGGUAAAAAAAAAAAAAAAAAAAAAAACUCUGGUGUCUUUACCAAGUCUGUUUCAGAGCUUUUUGAUUCAUUUGAUCUUUUUGGAAUACUUUACCUCCUUUACGUUUCUAUCUGUGUUCACUUUUGCACAUUGUGUAACAACUUCGUGCUGACUAAAUGAGGGCCAGAGAGAGAAAGAUAAACUUAUCAGCAUUUUUAUUUUAAUACGUUAGAGUGGAGGAAUGUGUAUGCGAGGGUGGAGAUUACGGAUAAGUUGAGAAAGGAAAUAGUAACAUUCCAGAUUUUUGCUACUUCUAACCUUAUUCUCAGUUUUAAACGUUACUGAGUUUACUCAGCAUUUAUACAGAGGAAUCAAUCAUCCGAAGGUUUCCUGUUUUAUAAUGGGUUUGUAAAACACUAUCUUGACUUAUUCUGUGAUCAUUGCAAAAAUUGUUUAAAGACUUUCAUUACUGGUUGAAAUUCCCAUAGUGUGAUGAUUUUUAAUUUCAUUAUUAUAUGUGAAACUUAAAAGUAAUGACAGUUAUUUGGAAGACAAUCAGAAUUACUUUUAUAGAACACUUAGGUCCAGAAUAGGUCUUUCUCAAAUGUCAUGAUGUAAAAGGGGCAAGGAAUGUACAUUUAGGUGAGAAACAGCAGCUUCUGAUGCUAGUCCCCUGAAAAAACUUACUUCUGCUACCAAAAGUUGGGUUAGGAGCAUUUCAGGAUUGUUUCAGAGAAAAUCAUGUAGGCGCCGGGCGUGGUGGCUCACGCCUGUGAUCCCAACACUUUGAGAGGCCGAGGCGGUGCAUCACUUGAGAUCAGGAGUUCCAGACCAGCCUGGCCAACAUGGUGAAACCUUGUCUCUACUAAAAAUAAAAAAGCCAGGCAUGGUGUUGGGUGCCUGCAUUUCCAGCUACCCGGAAGGCUGAGGCAGGAGAAUCACUUGAACCCGGGGGGCAGAGUUGUAGUGAGCAGAGAUUGCACCACUGUACUCCAUCCUGGGCGGUAAAGCGAGACUCCGUUUCAAAAAAAAAAAAAAGAAAAAUUAUAUAGAUAUUUAACUUUUUUAAAAGCCAGCAAAUGGUUCUUCCAAGAAGGUUAGAAAACCUCUGUCCACGAUGUUUCUUAAUCCAUGGAUUUGUUGUCUAUUUUGAAUCCAAAAGCCAGAAAAGCUAUUUAAGCAUAUAUAUGUGUAUGGUUUUAAUUAAUUUAUUUAUUUUUGAGACAGAGUCUCGCUCUGACGCCCAGGCUGGAGUGCAGUGGUGUGAUCUCGGCUCACUGCAAGCUCCGCCUCCCAGGUUCACGCCAUUCUCCUGCCUCAGCCUCCCGAGUAGCUGGGACUACAGGCGCCCGCCACCACGCCCGUCUAAUUUUUUGUAUUUUUAGUAGAGACAGGGUUUCAUCAUGUUAGCCAGGAUGGUCUUGAUCUUCUGACUCCAUGAUCCGCCCACCUCGGCCUCCCAAAGUGCUGGGAUUACAGGCAUGAGCCACCGUGCCCGGCCAAUGUGGAUGGUUUUUAAAUUUUUUUAAUUAAAAAAAUUUUUUAUUAAGUUUAUUUAAAAAUUUUUUUUUUGGAGAGACUAGGUCUUGCUAUGUUGCCCAGGCUGAUCUUGAACUUGUAGCUUCAAGAGAUCCUCCUUCCUAAGACUCCCAAAGUGCUGAGAUUUAUAGGCGAGAGCCACCAGAUUAUAUGUGUUUUUUAAAGGUACAAAGAUAAAACCUGUAAUUUGUAUUAGGGAAACAAAUGAAAAUAAGUAGUUGCAGUUUAGUAUAAAAAGUUGAAACUGAAGUAUGUAUAUAAAAAAGUACUAUGGGAGCGCAAAGGUUUUUCUUAAAAUUUUUAUUCUGUAUUAGAAAAGUGGGAGGUGAGUGGGCUUUCUGCUUUUGUCCUCUUUCUGCGUGUUUAUUCAAUACUAUUUUGGGCCUCUACCAUAGACCUUUAUUAAUUGGUAAGCUUGCAUGUUUUUAUUAGUAAACUGGCAUAUGAUGUUGCAAAAAAAAAAAAAGUACUGGAAAAUAUCCAGUCUGCUUGUGUGACUUUGAUUUCCAUAGUAACUUGUCAUAAAUAAGAUAUCUUGCUGUUUUUCUUUUCACAGAUGCUGCACUUAAAAGGAUGCUUGUUUUGAUCUUCUGCUCAUUGUUUUCCUCAUGAAAUAUCAGUAAUCCAUCCUAGAGGUGGUGUUCUUUUUAAGAAUUUGAGAAGGAAAAUGUAGUUCCCAGCUACUUUUAUGUAAUUUGUUCCUUUAAAUGGCUCCAGUGAAAAGUAAGAUGUAAAUGCAGAUAAUUGCAGAACUUACAUACAAAGAAUGCAUAAGAGGGGAAGGGGGAGUGAGAAACUCAGGCUUCACAGAGCUGACACUUGAAUUGGGGUUAAGUUGAAGAACAGACAAACUUAGACACAAAGCUAUGCAAAAAUUGUGAUGAACAAGGAAAAGAUGAUGGUAAUUCUCAUUUUUAGAACUGGUCAUCAGGAGAGUUUAAAAACCUUUUCUGCUGCUUGUCCUGUGAGGAGUUUAAACAGAAGAACCAUAUUUGGGAAAAUAAUCUCUAACAUAGAGCUAAUUAUGGACUUUCCUGGCACAGAAGGAAGGAUGCUAUAACCUAACUAGGUGGACUGUCUGUGGAUACUACGGGUAAUUAUGACACUAGUGAUUUUGUAAGUGGACUAUUUAUAUGGUACUUAUUCAAUUCAAAUAUGGGCACAUAAUGAAAGUGGGCAUUAGCUGCACAUACAUUAAAUGGAAUUUAGUAAUUUAAAAAUAUCGAUUCAUUUUUCUUGAAAAAUUAAAAAGGGAGAAAAUUCAUCUAUAAUCUAUGUUUUUUUGUUAAAUUUAACUGUGGAAAAGUUUUGGAAACUAGUUUCCUUAAUAUG